UCGUCCAACCCAACUACGGAAGUAACGAUGACUUCCUCUCUACCGCUCUGUCUUCUCUUCAUCUUCUCCGCUUGAAUAGCAUUGAAACUGAGUUCUAAUCGAUCCACUUCUACAUAAUCAAUACCUCACUUUGAUCAAUCAAUAUAUUUUUUAUGAUUUCGUUUCAUCUUCCUCUUUCCCUCCUUCUUUAUAUACUGAUCUUAUUUCCUGUGUACAAACCAAAACUUUAGGACCGUCCUAUACCCAAGAUUACUCAAGAGCCGACAGAUUACUCAAAUGUAAGCUUAAUCAUGUCUUCUUACUUGUGACUCUCAUUCCUAACUAAUCAAAAAGCUCACACAUAUAUAUCUCCUGGAUUUCGCCUUUACCUCUCAAGUCAGUUUACCAUUUCUUAUUACCAACGGAGCAAGAGUCACAAGAUCAAGACCCAUGUGUAGCUGCUGAGAAGAAACGGCUUGGGUUGCUUGAAGCUGAGAAGAAGGCACGUGCUCGCGUCCAGAAAGUACGCCACGUUGAUAACUCUGUUUCUAAUCAGCGUGAGAUGGAGAGAAGUAAAAUGAGGGACAAACUUGAAGAUAAAUUGCACAGUGCAAAGAGACAUAGAUCAGAGUUUCUUCAUCAGAGAAGAAGACAGCGUGAUUCGAUUAGUAUCUACUGCGAUAUGAUGCAGCAAGAUGAUGAUCAUCUAUAUAGAAAGCUGUCAAGUGUUGGAGGUGCUUUGUGAUUCAGAAGAAGACAACCUUGGACUUGGCUUAAGAUUAUGAUGCCUUGAAGAUUAACGAGUCACUUCCGUUUUGAGCAACUCGUGGUGCUAACAAAGUCGCCUGCUACUCUUAAAGCUGUUAACUCUUUGAUUGACCGCCUUCAAGUUCGCUUAUAAAAUUAUUGCCACUGCUCUCCUACUCUGCUCCCUUUGCAAUAUAUCAUCAAUAAUAAAAGCCUCUGUCAACAUGAUGCACAACCUUCAGCAAGGAAAUCUGGGCAUCAAUUUGCAAAGAACAGCACCGUGGCUAGGGGAAUAUCAGCUGCUUGCAUCAGCAACUCAACCCUCACUUACAGAUGAGCUCUUUUGGAAGCUACGUUCUAUGCGGCGUCAAAAUCUCUACCCUUGAUUCUUAUCUCCAUACCUCAAAAGUAUUAGCAACAUCAAAACUCAGCAAAGAUGAGAGACCACAUAAAGAGGGUAUUCAUGUAAUACAUUGUUAUUAUUCUCAAAUUUACUUUACCUUACUUUGCCAUUGUCUGUCCACAGCAAACAUCUGAAAUACACAUUUUAGGGAUAUUUUGUGUUACAUAUGAUCAAGUAUUUUUAUCAACGGAAGAAAGUAUCACACACGAGUGAUGGAGAGACUUGUGGUUUCACAAACAUCCCAUGCUAAGUUAGCACUCAUGAUGUUGCAUCAGCCAAUAUAAAGGAACAUUUUGAGAACGGACUAAAAACAUGAAUUUUGUGUGAAACUAUAGAGGAUAUCUAAGUGGACCUCAUAUUAACUCGAGCUUUAGGACAUUUUACAUUUAGAAGUUCCCCAAGAAUUUUUUUACCGUACUGUGAAAGAAUCAUGAGACUCUGGAUCAGCCAUCUUCAGCAAUGGAAACGGAAACAUGCAACGUAUGCGAUGAUGUGUCAACAUGUUCCCUGGUUUAUUCAAGUAAGUGCGUUUAAGUAAUAAAAUAUCUAAAUGUUUUGUGACAACAAAUAGGUUAUAUUUCAUUACAAAACAUUUGAUUUGUUUCGGUAGGUUGUGUCCCUCUUUCUUUUGAAUUUUUCAAUUGUUUUAUUUGUAUUUCAUUACAAAGUAUUUGAUGUAUUUAUUGGAAAAUAAUUAGAUCUUC